rnacentral:rRNA from 1 species
AACGAACGCUGGCGGCAUGCCUAACACAUGCAAGUCGAACGAAGCCUUCGGGCUUAGUGGCGCACGGGUGCGUAACGCGUGGGAAUCUGCCCUUGGGUUCGGAAUAACAGUUAGAAAUGACUGCUAAUACCGGAUGAUGUCUUCGGACCAAAGAUUUAUCGCCCAAGGAUGAGCCCGCGUAGGAUUAGGUAGUUGGUGGGGUAAUGGCCCACCAAGCCGACGAUCCUUAGCUGGUCCGAGAGGAUGAUCAGCCACACUGGGACUGGGACACGGCCCAGACUCCUACGGGAGGCAGCAGUGGGGAAUAUUGGACAAUGGGCGAGAGCCUGAUCCAGCAAUGCCGCGUGAGUGAUGAAGGCCUUAGGGUUGUAAAGCUCUUUACCAGGGAUGAUAAUGACAGUACCUGGAGAAUAAGCUCCGGCUAACUCCGUGCCAGCCGCCGCAGUAAAAC